CGGGAGAUAGCUGGUUCUCCCCGAAAGCUAUUUAGGUAGCGCCUCGUGAAUUCAUCUCCGGGGGUAGAGCACUGUUUCGGCAAGGGGGUCAUCCCGACUUACCAACCCGAUGCAAACUGCGAAUACCGGAGAAUGUUAUCACGGGAGACACACGGCGGGUGCUAACGUCCGUCGUGAAGAGGGAAACAACCCAGACCGCCAGCUAAGGUCCCAAAGUCAUGGUUAAGUGGGAAACGAUGUGGGAAGGCCCAGACAGCCAGGAUGUUGGCUUAGAAGCAGCCAUCAUUUAAAGAAAGCGUAAUAGCUCACUGGUCGAGUCGGCCUGCGCGGAAGAUGUAACGGGGCUAAACCAUGCAC
rnacentral:rRNA from 1 species